UAGCUCUUCACGGCGAGGUUUUAUAUUACUCAGCGAGGGGACAAAGCCAGCUGUCUCUCCCGCUAAUCUCCGCCUCUGCGGAGGGAGACGCACUGCCUGCGUUUGUCUUAUUACCAAACGCACCCCGAGACUUUAAGUACCGAGGCUCUGAUAUGUUUACCUUUACUCUUUUGCAGACGUCAUUUGAAGCUUUAUCUGUGUAUUGACACAGGGGGAUUAGGUUGGUGUGAAACAAGGCUUCUUUAUCAGUCCCAGCUCUUAGACGCUCCAUAAUCCCUACAAAGAGAACCAAGAGAGGGAGACAAACGUCUCAUACAUUCGCCAUAUAUCUCGCUGAGGCGACGGUUUCCAUGGCAACACGGGGCAUUUGUUUGAUAGGCUGUGACUGGCCCGCAUCAUCUCCUCAACACCCUCCAUCUCUGACUGGCAGUGUGAAAAUUACAUUGAUUUCAUCCCAAAUUAACUGCCAUCGUUUUGACACACCACUUCAACUGUCUACUCAAGACACCAUGUGGACUUCCUCAGCACGCGGAUGUAUGCAGUUUCCCGCGAACGCAGAUGCAGGUACUCAAUAUCAGCUGUGUGGUAGCCAUCUCUCUGUCCUCUCCUGAGCACUCGGAAGCGACUUCCUCCCACUGUUUCCACAUAGGAGCGACCAUCAGGAAGCAAAUCCAGAUCCAAAAUAUCCAAC